UACAGAGGGUGCAAGCGUUAAUCGGAAUUACUGGGCGUAAAGCGUGCGUAGGUGGUGAGUUAAGUCUGAUGUGAAAUCCCCGGGCUCAACCUGGGAAUGGCAUUGGAUACUGGCUCGCUAGAGUGCGGUAGAGGGUGGUGGAAUUCCCGGUGUAGCAGUGAAAUGCGUAGAGAUCGGGAGGAACAUCUGUGGCGAAGGCGGCCACCUGGACCAACACUGACACUGAGGCACGAAAGCGUGGGGAGCAAACAGG
rnacentral:rRNA from 1 species